UACGUAGGUGACCAGCGUUGUCCGGAUUUACUGGGCGUAAAGAGCGCGCAGGCGGUCGUUCAAGUCGCGUGUGAAAGCCCCCGGCUCAACUGGGGAGGGUCACGCGAUACUGAUCGACUCGAAGGCAGGAGAGGGUAGUGGAAUUCCCGGUGUAGUGGUGAAAUGCGUAGAUAUCGGGAGGAACACCAGUGGCGAAGGCGACUGCCUGGACUGUUCUUGACGCUGAGGCGCGAAAGCUAGGGGAGCAAGCGGG
rnacentral:rRNA from 1 species